UACGUAGGGUGCGAGCGUUGUCCGGAAUUAUUGGGCGUAAAGAGCUCGUAGGCGGUGUGUCGCGUCGGCCGUGAAAACCUGGGGCUCAACUCUGGGCGUGCGGUCGAUACGGGCAUCACUUGAGUUCGGCAGGGGAGACUGGAAUUCCUGGUGUAGCGGUGAAAAUGCGCAGAUAUCAGGAGGAACACCGGUGGCGAAGGCGGGUCUCUGGGCCGAUACUGACGC
rnacentral:rRNA from 1 species